rnacentral:sRNA from 1 species
GUUUCAAUUCCUCAUAGGCAGGCUAUCGGCGCUUCAUUUUAAUUUAGUCCCCCUUUGUAUUGGGGGAG